UUGGAAUUAUCACUUCAUACUGAAACAAGGGUUUGAUCUUUUCAUGAGAUGUAUGGUGAUGAAAUUAAGGCCAGGGGCUCUGGGGACAGAAGAGAAGGCUGGCGCCACUCGUAUGCCCUGGAGAAACAGUGAGAUGAAGAGCACAGCCUCUAGAGCCAGAGUGUCUGGAUCUAAAAUUGGCUCUUUUAAAUUUCAGAAUUGAAAAUUAAGAAUGCCAUGUAAAGCAAGGUGAAAAAGGCAGGGGUGUACACAUCAAUCCCAGAUCCAGGGAGCCAACAUCUUUAAGUAGACUUCUUCAGAUGGCCUGUGGGGUACCACAGAGCUUACAGAACAACUUAAGAUCGUCUAACCCCAGGUAACUUCACAAGUUGUUAGAAACCAUCCUUCAAAGAUCUGCCUCUUUCCUUCUGCGUGGCAGCUGGAGACUCCUGCUUGGUCCUAAUCAGUGCAGGAUCAACAACAGAAAUCCGCAAAUGUCAGUCAUUUUUCUGUUUUCACUACCCAGUUGUUUUCUCUUGAGUUUAACUGCCUGAAUUUUAGUGUCUGUGAUAAGCACUCAGGGGUAAUAUCAUACACCUCUGGAAGCCCUCUACUGAUUGUGGGCUAUGAUCUGCAAGUGAUGAAAGCAGGAUUUGGCCAAUUAGGAGUACAAGAAUUUCUUGGCACUGCCAGAGCUUCACAGAAGAUGUGUGCUGUGCACAUUCCCAUGGAGCUGGCUUGAUUUCACAAUCUUUCACAGCCUAUUGUAAUAUACCACCCAUCUCAAACAAGGUCCCUGUCCAAGUGUGCUUUAAUGUUUUAUGAAAUCAGCUGCAAAUGUCAGGAUUUAAAAAUCCAAA
rnacentral:lncRNA from 1 species